UUACAGAAUUAAGCAGAAGUUCUGGGCUAGUCCUGAAAAUAAAUUAAAAAAUGUAAAGUUAUACAAAUCUCAUGAAUCUAAUUAGUCAUUUAUGCUAGAAAAAGUACCAGACUGUAAAUUGUCAUCACAGAAAAAACACAUAGAAGGUCUAAAAUAGCCUACAUGAUAAUCAUGCCCAAAAUAUAGCAGAAGAGACCAAUGACUUAACCACCUUCAGUCACCAGACACACCCAUGCCAAAGCAUCAAUAAGAUCAGCAUGCUACUUGGAAUAGCUACCAUAAAAUUCUAAAAUAGAUGUUGAUACAACACUAAAAAACUGGCACAAUCAGAGGAUUCUUACAUCUUCCCGCUUGUUCACUACUGAAGGACCUGAAGUGAGGAUUAUACUACUAAUUAAGAAUUUCACUAAUGGACCAAACCAGCAAAACUAUAUGUUUUACAUCCCAUGCUCCAGCCAGAGUCAGAAUAGAAUCCAAAGAAUAUAGUUAAUAUUUCUAUAAGAUGCAAUUGCAAUCCUUGGCACUUAAGAAUGGCAUCAACAUGUUGACUUAACCUCCUACUCAAAGUGCAAACACCCAUGUCAUAUGGGCCACAUUUUUUUUUCAAACUCAGAUAAAAGAAAAGCAUAUCUGAAGCAUCUUGAGACCAUCAAAAGAUUCACAAGAAUUUUCAAGUCAUAUCAACUCUAGGAAUUACAAGAGUAUACAAACCCAGAUAUUUUAUAAGUUUCAACUCUAUCAGAAAUAUAGCACUCGAUUAGAAAAAAGAGACUGCUGCCAAUCCUAACUAUGAAGAACAUACAAGAUCACUACAAACCGGACCAGCAUGCAAGAACUUAACCUUUUUGUAAUCUAACUCGCAUGCUAUAUUUGUCAAUUAUCACAAAAUUGAAAGUUUAGAAUUUAAUAAGCAUAGCGAUUGAAACUAACUAAUGUGACAACAGUAAAGAGCAACAUACUUCAGUUCAACUUCAGGUUUGUUAUGUCUUUCAACUUCUUGACA
rnacentral:lncRNA from 1 species